UUAUGGCCAUAUCACUUUGAAUCAUCGGUUCCCAUACGAUCACCGAAGUUAAGCAACAUUGAGGCUGAUUAGUAACGAGAUGGGUUACCCCUGGGGAAUAACAGGUGCUGCAAG